AACGAACGCUGGCGGCAGGCUUAACACAUGCAAGUCGAACGCCCCGCAAGGGGAGUGGCAGACGGGUGAGUAACGCGUGGGAACAUACCCUUAUCUUCGGAACAACUCCGGGAAACUGGAGCUAAUACCGAAUGUGCCCUUCGGGGGAAAGAUUUAUCGGAUAAGGAUUGGCCCGCGUUGGAUUAGCUAGUUGGUGGGGUAAAGGCCUACCAAGGCGACGAUCCAUAGCUGGUCUGAGAGGAUGAUCAGCCACAUUGGGACUGAGACACGGCCCAAACUCCUACGGGAGGCAGCAGUGGGGAAUAUUGGACAAUGGGCGCAAGCCUGAUCCAGCCAUGCCGCGUGAGUGAUGAAGGCCUUAGGGUUGUAAAGCUCUUUCACCGGAGAAGAUAAUGACGGUAUCCGGAGAAGAAGCCCCGGCUAACUUCGUGCCAGCCGCCGCAGUAAAAC
rnacentral:rRNA from 1 species